CUUUCAGGAGGCUUCUGCUCAGCUAGGGAGACAAGACUUACAUAGAGAACACAAGAAAUUGAACAAAAUUGGUUUUAUGUGCCAGAGGAUUUCAGGGACUGGAGAGAUUGUUAUGGAUGCUCACAGAAGGCUCAUGGAGGCUUGGACUGAGCCCAAAAGAAUGAAGACUGCUUAAGAAGGCAGAGGAGAAUGUUAGGAGAAAGCCACAUUCUAUGCAAAGGUUCCCUAGGUGCAAAUGCAUAAGGCAUGCUGGGAAGCUGAUGAGUAACUCAUCUGGCUAGGGAAGACUGCACUGAACACAUCUGAGGGAGAGAGGUGAUGAAAACAGUUUAAAGAAAAUCACUCCUUGUGGAUGCCAGAUGGAGUGCAUUGGGGCGCAACUGGAGCUUCCGACAUGGCAGCUGUUUCCAAAACUCCAAUCUAUUCUCAAAAUGAAGUGGCAUCAUCAUCUGGGACCCUGCGCUCAGUGGAUCAGCUGGCAUCACCCAGAUCAAUAAACUGGCUCACCUGGACUUACGGCCCCCACCAGGAACUGACUUAGCACAAGAGGACAGCUUCCAUUCCCUAUGAGGUCGUCUCUGACCUGACCAAUCAGCACUCCUAACUCACUGGCCCCCUACCCACCAAAUUAUCCUUAAAAACUCCAAUCCCCAAAUUUUCAGAGAAACUAAUUUGAGUAAUAAUAAAACUCCAGUCUCACGCGCA
rnacentral:lncRNA from 13 species